UUACAACUUUGACAAGGUAAUGUAUCUGUACAAAAGGCUGUCUAUCAGCAGUGAUUGUUAGAGUGCAUGUAGGAGAAUAGCGCGGCCACGCGUACCACCUUGGCGGAAAAGUAAGAGAAAGUAGAA